rnacentral:rRNA from 1 species
CAGUGCCUACGGGGCGCAGCAGUGGGGAAUAUUGCACAAUGGGGGAAACCCUGAUGCAGCGACGCCGCGUGAGUGAAGAAGUAUUUGGGUAUGUAAAGCUCUAUCAGCAGGGAAGAAGAAAGACGGUACCUGACUAAGAAGCCCCGGCUAACUACGUGCCAGGAGCCGCGGUAAUACGUAGGGGGCAAGCGUUAUACGGAUUUACUGGGUGUAAAGGGAGCGUAGACGGCUGUGCAAGUCUGAAGUGAAAGCCAAGGGCUCAAGCCUGG